UACAGAGGUCUCAAGCGUUGUUCGGAUUCAUUGGGCGUAAAGGGUGCGUAGGCGGCGUGGUAAGUCGGGUGUGAAAUCUCGGAGCUUAACUCCGAAACUGCAUUCGAUACUGCCGUGCUUGAGGACUGGAGAGGAGACUGGAAUUUACGGUGUAGCGGUGAAAUGCGUAGAUAUCGUAAGGAAGACCAGUGGCGAAGGCGGGUCUCUGGACAUUUCCUGACGCUGAGGCACGAAGGCCAGGGGAGCAAACGGG
rnacentral:rRNA from 1 species